rnacentral:rRNA from 1 species
CAGGCUUAACACAUGCAAGUCGAGGGGCAGCAUUUCAGUUUGCUUGCAAACUGGAGAUGGCGACCGGCGCACGGGUGAGUAACACGUAUCCAACCUGCCGAUAACUCGGGGAUAGCCUUUCGAAAGAAAGAUUAAUACCCGAUGGUAUAAUCAGACCGCAUGGUCUUGUUAUUAAAGAAUUUCGGUUAUCGAUGGGGAUGCGUUCCAUUAGGCAGUUGGUGAGGUAACGGCUCACCAAACCUUCGAUGGAUAGGGGUUCUGAGAGGAAGGUCCCCCACAUUGGAACUGAGACACGGUCCAAACUCCUACGGGAGGCGGCAGUGAGGAAUAUUGGUCAAUGGGCGCAGGCCUGAACCAGCCAAGUAGCGUGAAGGAUGACUGCCCUAUGGGUUGUAAACUUCUUUUAUAUGGGAAUAAAGUUUUCCACGUGUGGAAUUUUGUAUGUACCAUAUGAAUAAGGAUCGGCUAACUCCGUGCCAGCAGCCGCGGUAAUACGGAGGAUCCGAGCGUUAUCCGGAUUUAUUGGGUUUAAAGGGAGCGUAGGUGGACAGUUAAGUCAGUUGUGAAAGUUUGCGGCUCAACCGUAAAAUUGCAGUUGAUACUGGCUGUCUUGAGUACAGUAGAGGUGGGCGGAAUUCGUGGUGUAGCGGUGAAAUGCUUAGAUAUCACGAAGAACUCCGAUUGCGAAGGCAGCUCACUGGACUGCAACUGACACUGAUGCUCGAAAGUGUGGGUAUCAAACAGGAUUAGAUACCCUGGUAGUCCACACAGUAAACGAUGAAUACUCGCUGUUUGCGAUAUACAGUAAGCGGCCAAGCGAAAGCAUUAAGUAUUCCACCUGGGGAGUACGCCGGCAACGGUGAAACUCAAAGGAAUUGACGGGGGCCCGCACAAGCGGAGGAACAUGUGGUUUAAUUCGAUGAUACGCGAGGAACCUUACCCGGGCUUAAAUUGCAUUUGAAUAUAUUGGAAACAGUAUAGCCGUAAGGCAAAUGUGAAGGUGCUGCAUGGUUGUCGUCAGCUCGUGCCGUGAGGUGUCGGCUUAAGUGCCAUAACGAGCGCAACCCUUAUCUUUAGUUACUAACAGGUCAUGCUGAGGACUCUAGAGAGACUGCCGUCGUAAGAUGUGAGGAAGGUGGGGAUGACGUCAAAUCAGCACGGCCCUUACGUCCGGGGCUACACACGUGUUACAAUGGGGGGUACAGAAGGCAGCUACCUGGUGACAGGAUGCUAAUCCCAAAAGCCUCUCUCAGUUCGGAUCGAAGUCAGCAACCCGACUUCGUGAAGCUGGAUUCGCUAGUAAUCGCGCAUCAGCCAUGGCGCGGUGAAUACGUUCCCGGGCCUUGUACACACCGCCCGUCAAGCCAUGAAAGCCGGGGGUACCUGAAGUACGUAACCGCAAGGAGCGUCCUAGGGUAAAACUGGUAAUUGGGGCUAAGU